GUUUUGUCUGUGGCUUGUUCUGCUACAUUUCUUGGUACCCUGACCAGGAAGCGAGGUGAUUAACAGAGGCCAAGGCAGCCCCUUAGGCAGCUUAGGCCUGCCUUGUGGAGCAUCCCUGUGGGGACUCCAGCCAGCUUGAGCGAUGCAGAUCCUGAGAGCGCUCCUGGGUAGGCAUUUGCCCCAGUGGAACGCCUCCUCAGAGCAGUGCACGGCAGGCCCCCGCAGAGGGUCAACGCAGUGGCUGAACACCGGGAAAGAACUGGCACUUGCAGUCUGGACAUCUGAAACUUGGCAAAUACAUUGGAGACUUCUCAACUUUCUGCUUCUGAUGAUCUCAACUUGUGGUAUGGCAAAAGGAGAGCAAAAUGUUCACCCAGGAACGAGAAGUCCUGGCAGCUGAGUCAUGAUCCCCCAGGAGCCAUUAAGAAGUUAAUCUUCAGUCACUUCCAUCCAAACAGAAGAAAACCCAUGAAGGAUGAGAACUAUGGGUCCUGAGAAUGACAG
rnacentral:lncRNA from 10 species